UACAGAGGGUGCGAGCGUUAAUCGGAAUUACUGGGCGUAAAGGGCGCGUAGGCGGAUAAGCAAGUGAGAUGUGAAAUCCCCGGGCUUAACCUGGGAAUGGCAUUUGGGACUGCAAGGCUGGAGUGCGGCAGAGGAGACUGGAAUUCCUGGUGUAGCAGUGAAGUGCGUAGAUAUCAGGAGGAAUACCGAUGGCGAAGGCAGGUCUCUGGGCUGACACUGACGCUCAUGCACGAAAGCGUGGGGAGCAAACAGG
rnacentral:rRNA from 1 species